rnacentral:rRNA from 1 species
AGUGGAACGCAUGAUUGAUACCGGAGCUUGCUCCACCAUUAAUCAUGAGUCGCGAACGGGUGAGUAACGCGUAGGUAACCUACCUCAUAGCGGGGGAUAACUAUUGGAAACGAUAGCUAAUACCGCAUAACAGUAUUUAUCACAUGGUAAAUGCUUGAAAGGAGCAAUUGCUUCACUAUGAGAUGGACCUGCGUUGUAUUAGCUAGUUGGUGGGGUAACGGCUCACCAAGGCAUCGAUACAUAGCCGACCUGAGAGGGUGAUCGGCCACACUGGGACUGAGACACGGCCCAGACUCCUACGGGAGGCAGCAGUAGGGAAUCUUCGGCAAUGGGGGGAACCCUGACCGAGCAACGCCGCGUGAGUGAAGAAGGUUUUCGGAUCGUAAAGCUCUGUUGUAAGAGAAGAACGUGUGUGAGAGUGGAAAGUUCACACAGUGACGGUAACUUACCAGAAAGGGACGGCUAACUACGUGCCAGCAGCCGCGGUAAUACGUAGGUCCCGAGCGUUGUCCGGAUUUAUUGGGCGUAAAGCGAGCGCAGGCGGUUUGAUAAGUCUGAAGUAAAAGGCUGUGGCUUAACCAUAGUAUGCUUUGGAAACUGUCAAACUUGAGUGCAGAAGGGGAGAGUGGAAUUCCAUGUGUAGCGGUGAAAUGCGUAGAUAUAUGGAGGAACACCGGUGGCGAAAGCGGCUCUCUGGUCUGUAACUGACGCUGAGGCUCGAAAGCGUGGGGAGCAAACAGGAUUAGAUACCCUGGUAGUCCACGCCGUAAACGAUGAGUGCUAGGUGUUGGGUCCUUUCCGGGACUCAGUGCCGCAGCUAACGCAUUAAGCACUCCGCCUGGGGGAGUACGACCGCAAGGUUGAAACUCAAAGGAAUUGACGGGGGCCCGCACAAGCGGUGGAGCAUGUGGGUUUAAUUCGAAGCAACGCGAAGAACCUUACCAGGUCUUGACAUCCCAGUGACCGUCCUAGAGAUAGGAUUUUUCUUCGGAACACUGGAGACAGGUGGUGCAUGGUUGUCGUCAGCUUGUGUCGUGAGAUGUUGGGUUAAGUCCCGCAACGAGCGCAACCCCUAUUGUUAGUUGCCAUCAUUAAGUUGGGCACUCUAGCGAGACUGCCGGUAAUAAACCGGAGGAAGGUGGGGAUGACGUCAAAUCAUCAUGCCCCUUAUGACCUGGGCUACACACGUGCUUCAAUGGCUGGUACAACGAGUCGCAAGUCGGUGACGACAAGCUAAUCUCUUAAAGCCAGUCUCAGUUCGGAUUGUAGGCUGCAACUCGCCUACAUGAAGUCGGAAUCGCUAGUAAUCGCGGAUCAGCACGCCGCGGUGAAUACGUUCCCGGGCCUUGUACACACCGCCCGUCACACCACGAGAGUUUGUAACACCCGAAGUCGGUGAGGUAACCAUUUGGAGCCAGCCGC